CGGGUCAUUGGUGUAGUGGAAAACAUACAUGCUUUGGAAGUAUGUGACCCAAGUUCGAUUCUUGGAUGACCCGU
rnacentral:tRNA from 1 species